rnacentral:rRNA from 1 species
UUAAUAAUAUUCUUAUUAAAAAUAUAAUUAUUUAAAUAUUUGGUCCUUUCGUACUAAAAUAUUUUAAUUUUUUAAAGAUAGAAACCAACCUGGCUUACGCCGGUUUGAACUCAGAUCAUGUAAGAAUUUAAAAGUCGAACAGACUUAAAAUUUGAACGGCUACACCCAAAAUUAUAUCUUAAUCCAACAUCGAGGUCGCAAUCUUUUUUAUCGAUAUGAACUCUCCAAAAAAAUUACGCUGUUAUCCCUAAAGUAACUUAAAUUUUUAAUCAUUAUUAAUGGAUCAAUAAUUCAUAAAUUAAUGGUUUUAAAAAUUAAAAGUUUUUUAAAUUUUAAUAUCACCCCAAUAAAAUAUUUUAAUUUAUUAUAAUAAAAAUAAUCUGUAUAAUUAAAAUAAACAAAAUAUAAAGAUUNAUAGGGUCUUCUCGUCUAGUAAAUGUAUUUUAGCUUGUGGACUACAAAAUAAAAUUGUAUAAAAAAUUUAAAUGAAAC